GGAUCUAAUCAUCUUAGGAACAAAACGAGGUUGGCGCCCCUCCAGUUGCGUUGUACAUCGCUUGUUUCACAACUCUAACAAGGCGCUGAAACUGUCCAUUCCAUCAUGGUGCCUGAGACGGGAUUGGGACUAGGUGGGCUUCCGAGAGAUUUGUUUCAAUGACAAGAACAACUGUCACAAAAGAUUUCUAGUUACUGUUUCGUUUACCGCAGAUGAUUUCAACGCAGCGAAAUACCUCUUGACGGUUUAAAUUGGAUGAUUGUGUAUUAAAUAACAUUUGCAUUUCCAAAAAUACUUGCUGACUAAAGGAUGAAUAAAAAAAAA